rnacentral:rRNA from 1 species
ACGAACGCUGGCGGCGUGCCUAAUACCUGCAAGUCGAACGCUUCUUUCCUCCCGAGUGCUUGCACUCAAUUGGAAAGAGGAGUGGCGGACGGGUGAGUAACACGUGGGUAACCUACCCAUCAGAGGGGGAUAACACUUGGAAACAGGUGCUAAUACCGCAUAACAGUUUAUGCCGCAUGGCAUAAGAGUGAAAGGCGCUUUCGGGUGUCGCUGAUGGAUGGACCCGCGGUGCAUUAGCUAGUUGGUGAGGUAACGGCUCACCAAGGCCACGAUGCAUAGCCGACCUGAGAGGGUGAUCGGCCACACUGGGACUGAGACACGGCCCAGACUCCUACGGGAGGCAGCAGUAGGGAAUCUUCGGCAAUGGGCGGAAGUCUGACCGAGCAACGCCGCGUGAGUGAAGAAGGUUUUCGGAUCGUAAAACUCUGUUGUUAGAGAAGAACAAGGACGUUAGUAACUGAACGUCCCCUGACGGUAUCUAACCAGAAAGCCACGGCUAACUACGUG